rnacentral:lncRNA from 10 species
ACAUUUAAAUUAUAUGACAGUGAUAGCACAGAGGAGGAGGAGGGAACAGAGCUAUAUAUGCGCAAAGUUUUUGUAUACCAUUGACAUUAAAUUAUAAUUAAUCUGAGAUCAGUUGUUAUAAAUUAAGAUAUUAAUUGUAAUCCCUAGGGCAUCUGCUAAAAAGACACCUUAAAAGGUAUAGUAAAAGAAAUGACAGAGCAAGACUUUGCCUCAAAAAAAAGAUACAUAUAACAUAAAAUUUACCAUCUUAGCCAUUUUAAAGUGUACAGUUGAGUGGCAUUAAAAACAUUCAUCAUGUAUAAACGUCACCCCAUCCAUCUCCAUAACACUUCAUCUUGUGAAACUGAAACUGUGCACUCAUUAAACAACAACUCCCCAUUUCUGCUCCCCCCAGCUUCUGGCAACCACCAAUCUGCUGUCUGUCUCUCUGAAUGUGACUAUUCUAAGUACCUCAUCUAAGUGGAAUGACACAAUCUUUGUGUUUUGUGACUGGCUUAUUUUACUUAGCAUAAUGUCCUCAAGGGUGAUCCAUAUUAUAGCAUAUGUCCUUCCUUUGUAAGGUGAAAUUUCCUUUCUUUCUAAGGCUAAAUAAUAUUCUGCUUAUCUGUUUGUUCAUUGGUAGGCACUUGAACUGAUUUUGCAUUUUAGCUGUUGUGAAUAACGCUGCUAUGAACUUGAGUAUACAAAUAUAUUUUCAAGACCCUGAUUUCCAUUAUUUUGGGUAUAUACCCACAGUUGCAAUGUGGGAUCAUACAGUCAUUCUAUUUCUAAUUUUUUGAGGAACUCUUAUCGUGUUUUUCAUAGGAACUGUGUCAUUUUAUAUUCCCAUCAAUAGUUCUCCAGGGUUCCAGAUUCUCCACAUCCUUGCCAAUACUUGUUAUUUUGGGGUUUUUUUGAUAGUAGUCAUCUUAAUGGGUGUGAGGUGAUGUCCUAUUAUAGUUUUAAUUUGCAUUUCCUCAGUAAUAAAUGAUGUUGGGAAUCUCUUCAUUUGCUUAUUGACCAUUUGUAGAUCAUCUUUGGAGAGAUGUCUAUUCAUGUCCUCUGCCCAUUUUUAAAUUGAGUUUUUUGUCUUAGAGUUUUAGGAGUUCUCUAUAUAUUCUGGAUAUUAGUGCCUUAUCAGAUAAAUGAUUUGUAAAUAUUUUCUCCCAUCAGCUGGGUGCAGUGGCUCACACCUGUAAUCCCAGCACUUUGGGAGGCCGAGGUGGGUGGAUCACCUGAGCUCAGGAGUUUGAGACCAGCCUGGGCAACACAGUGAAACCCCGUCUCUACUAAAAUACAAAAAAUUAGCCGGGCACGGCAGCAUGCGCCUGCAAUCCCAGCUACUUGGGAGGUUGAGACAGGAGAAUUGCUGGAACCCGAGAGGCAGAAGUUGCAGUGAGCCAAGAUUGCACCACUGCACCCCAGCCUGGGUGACAGAGGGAGACUCCAUCUCAAAAAAAAAAAAAACAUUUUCUCCCAUCUUUUGAGUUGCCCCUUUACUCUGUUGAUGUUGCCUUUUUUUUUUUUUUUUGAGACGGAGUCUCGCUCUGUCACCCAAGCUGGAGUAUAGUGGCCCGAUCUCAGCUCACUGCAAGCUCCGCCUCCCAGGUUCACACCAUUCUCCUGCCUCAGCCUCCUGAGUAGCUGGGACUACAGGCGCCCACCACCACGCCCGGCUAAUUUUUUGUAUUUUUAGUAGAGAUGGGGUUUCACCGUGUUAGCCAGGAUGGUCUCGAUCUCCUGACCUCGUGAUCCGCCCGCCUCGGCCUCCCAAAGUGCUGGGAUUACAGGCGUGAGCCACCACGCCCGGCCAGAUGUUGCCUUUUGAUACACAAAUAUUCUAAUUUUCAUGACGUCCACUUUGUCUAUUUUCUUCUUUUGUUGCCCAUGUUUUUGGUGUCAUAUCCAAUAAAUCAUUGUAAAAUCUGAAGUUGUACAGCUUUGUCUUAUGUUUUCUUUUAAGAAGUUUAUAGUUUUAGGUAUUACAUUUA